rnacentral:rRNA from 1 species
UACGGAGGGUGCAAGCGUUGUCCGGAUUUAUUGGGUUUAAAGGGUGCGUAGGCGGUCUAUUAAGUCAGUGGUGAAAGCCAACAGCUCAACUGUUGAACUGCCAUUGAUACUGCUAGACUUGAGUACAGACGAGGUAGGCGGAAUUGAAGAUGUAGCGGUGAAAUGCAUAGAUAUCUUCAAGAACACCGAUUGCGUAGGCAGCUUACUAGGCUGUAACUGACGCUGAGGCACGAAAGCGUGGGGAGCGAACAGG